rnacentral:misc_RNA from 1 species
AAGGACUUCUGGAACCUGUUGAGGUUAAUUCAAAAGCUUUAUUCUUUACAUCCUUAUUUUUCUUUUUAAUAUUUUUGGGCAGCCUUUGAUAACGUUUACAGCUGAUUUAAUGAAUAUCUUGUUCUAUUACAUGGAAGGAUGCACAGUUUGGAUAGUAGUUAUAAUGUAGGUUUCAAACCAUUUAACCUUUAACGGUACUGGAAAGUUUUUCCAAAGUUAUGUCUCCAUGGCGUGUUUUGUGUUGGGAGUUGUGGAGGAAGGGAAGCCGUUGAAUAUGGGGUAAAUUGACUUUUUCUUGUAAUUGGACAUAUAAUUUUUGUCGGUGGUUCCUAACUCCGUUGAACAUAAUACUGGAACAAACUAAAGAAGUGCUUCUGGUACCUUCCAUAUGUGGACUUAGGACCUAUUUACUGACUUAGGAGUGAAUCAGUUUGCUGUUAUUUUUUUUUCUUGUUUCCUCCCUUGUUUGGACACACUUGUUUAGCAUGUCCUGUAAUAGGCAUGCUGGUAUUUCUUUCUGUUACUGCUGUACAACAUUUAUCACCAAUAUCUCCAUUAGUCCAUGAAGCAUAUGCAUCUAAUUCUAUUCUUAUAUGUUAAUCUCUCAUUCUCCUUGCUUUUUCUGCCCUCUUGGUUUGUUGGAGGUGAAAGUGUGCCUUGGUGCAAUGGUAAGAUUUUACCAUUCUAACCUGGGAAUCACAAGCUCAUAUGGUAGAAAGGUAGAAAACAGCAUCCUUGCAAGGCAAGGGGAAGAUUGCAUACUUCUGUUCUGUGCAAUCCCCAUGAUGCAAGAACCCAUGUGCACUAAGUUCUGUUUCACUGCUACCAACAAAGGGAUAUUGCUUGCACCUAUUUAUUCUCAUUGAACUCGUUCCUCCAUGAGUUGUUCAUAGUGAUUAUCAUUGUAGUUAAAUAUGGAUUUAAACCAUGAACCUUAUUGACUAGGGAGCAUGUGCUGUUUCUUUGACCUCUGAAUUUUUUAUUAUUAAAGAUUUGCACUUGAGAGUUGCAUGUCUAUUGAUAGGAACAAAAAACAAUUGGUUCAG